rnacentral:misc_RNA from 1 species
UGGUCUGAAAAGAUUCCAAUUACGUCCUGACACAUCAACACCAGAUUCAGGUAGAUUGGCAAGUUCUAGUCAGGUAGCGGCUUUUGACUAUGAAAGUUCUUGCCAGAGGUAUAAUUAGGAGUGUGUGCUAGGUCUCGUGCCUGUUAGAGGGCACCUGUCUUUCACCAGAGGCUCUAAGGCCAGAGCCCUGUGCACCUUGCAAUUCAGGCGCACAUUUAACAACUAUAAUAUAUAAUUAGAAUGAAACAGAAAAAGGAUGGUUAAACAGUCAACUGCAGAUAGUUCAAUAUCAAGCUAAGUUCAACCUAAAAUUAAUGCGAGCAUCAAGCCAGUAACACAAAAAAUUCAGCAGUUUAUGAUAA